AUACAAAAUAAAGUUCAUGUAUGUUGCACUGCAUACAGUUUUAAUCAAAAUGUAAACUGGAUUUGGAAAGGCUCGGUUAUGAAUGGUGGCAUUUGCUGAGCUCUGAAUUGGGCUGCAGUGAGAGGUCACCUGGCUGGACGCACAAUAGAACCUCUUAUCUUGUGUAAUAAGUCGAGACCAGGAAGUGAUCGCUGUGAGAUAAGCACCAGUGACUCUGUCACCAAAAGGCUUCGCUCUCCAGUUUCUACCUUUUGGGAUACAAAGUAGUUCACAUUAAAAAAAAAAAAAAACUAAAAAAAAAAACCCCAUUGUCCUAAAGUUUCUCGACUGCAGAAGAAAAUAUGUGACAUUUUAAAAUGAUGGACAAGAAAGCGGUUCUUGUUAAUGAACGAAUAAUGUUUAAACACUUGUCUUUAAAAUCAAAACACACUGUUAUGCAUAAACGGACAAAAGUCCCAGUUGUGGGAAGCUGAGACACAUAAAAGACUGCAGAGUGGAAAAGAAGAUUCAUACUGCCCUCUGCUGAUGGACAUGAAGUUUUCUGUAUUUUUGCCUCAUCUCAAUACUAAAUAUAUUCCAGCUAAUAUAUAAGUCAGGAUAGAAGUGAUCAAAUUCAUUAAAAGUUCCGAUCUGUUGUGUUUUUAAAACAUAUUCAGACACUCUGAAAAAAACAUUCACAUUUUAUGGCUGUUCGGUUUCAUACAUGCACAUCAAGAACACAUUUGGACAGAAAUAAAUGGCUUUUAUGUAUAUGUCUUUUUAUAUGUAAAGAAUUGUUUCCUCCAAAAAAUAUUACAGUAUCAAAAAUAAAAGCAUCUCAACAACCGAAAAUAAAUAAGAAUAUUGAAAAACAACAAAACACGGUUGCCACACAAACACAUCGUCAUGGCUACGUCCACUAAACUGAACAAGAUUAAAAACAAAAUUCUCAUAUUUUUAAACAUGAGUUCGCUGAUAGAUCGAUGUUCUGUUCACAGCAUUUUACAAAAAAAAAAAAAAAAGCAUACACCUCAUUUAUAAAAACUAGAUCUUUGUAAACAAAAAAUACAAGACAUAGUCAGCUGAGGAGGAAGGUUAUCAGAGCUCUUUGUCAGAGAGCACCUUCGCCUUCCUGGAUUUAACUGUUAGCACGCAAGAACAUAAUUUCAUAGGUCCAUUCAACUUGAAGUGUCCCUUAAGUUAUGAAUAGGAGUAUGAGGUAACAGUCCAAGAAGACGGCUUUGAUUGUGGCUCAUCAAGUCUCUACCGACAGUCACUGUACAUGUUCCCGGAAUCGGCACUGUGUCCACAACACUGUCAACAGUGCUGAUGCUUUGGAGGAGCACUGGACUGCAAAUGAAGUAUUGCUCAACUUUGCCUGUAUUCCCUCUGUAAUCUCGGUCUACAGUUCGAGAAUAUCACUCAGCGUUUGUCUCGUC